GGUUCUUUCUUUUUUUUGUUUUUCCAUAAAGUUUCUGAAGGAUCUGACAGGAUGGAAACAGUAAAAGUGGUGACUUGUCUGUUUCUAACAAUAUUUUGUGCGUUACUUCAAUCGUCCACUGGGUGGCAGUGUAGCGUGCAGUUGGGUUGUAGUAGUGACGCAGCAGAAGAAGAAAUGCUCCUGUUGCGAUGCUAACAGAACGUGUGCUCUGAUACUAUUCUGUACCUCAGAUAUACGAAGUUGUGGAGAAGACUACAUCUGGCAGCUAAUGAAAAAGUCAAACUACGUUACCAAGGAUGGGAACGCUCCUCUGCACCUCUUUCCUUGAGAAGUCUGGCCAUGUGUGAUCCAAAAGUAACACCUGAGGAGAUCAGCCCUCUCCAGCUGGAGUUACCGACCCUCACGGCCUCCUCCAAGGAUUUGGGUUACUCAGAGAGAGGUCUACUUAAGCUGGGUUCUCAGGUCUGCAGUGCUACUGCCUCCACAUGCUCAACCUCAUCCUGAAGGCCAACUCUCAAGUACUGUCACAAAAUGCCCAGCUGAAGGAGCAGAGAAGAACAUCUGCAGCUGAGUUCCAGGAACAACACAGAGAACAAGGACUGAGCAGGUCUGAGUCUGCUGGAGGCCAAAGACAAGAGGUUGUUGGGAGCAACAAGAAGAAAUUCAAAGAGGAGUUUGGCCGCGAUGCAGACCAAAAGCUGUUGAACCUACGCAGACCUGAUGAUCACCACGUCACCAUCUUUGCUGGGAGACUAUAGUCCAGUGAAUGAACGGCGUGAGCGGAAGCAGACCGGCCAAACUGUGAAAAGUGUCUUGGAUUUCAACAGGAUCUCUGCAGAUCCCGUUGAUGAAGCAGCUGUUUACUUCCAGUCAUUUUUUUCCUCCGCAACAAACAAGAUCUCCUCUAACUCUGUGAUCCUUCCGUCUGAAAAGGCCUGUUUUAAUAAAUUUUAAUGGUCUUGUGCUAACGUAAUAGAUUAUUGUCAUUUCUCAUUGUUGUUUUGUGUUGAGACGGGACGUUUCAUUUGGAGAAGGAGGCAUCCGGAGCUCUGUUUACAUUCUCCUUUGGUUUCUGUGCACGACAGAGACAUUACUUAAGGCGACGAAAGGGCUUCUGGGUAUGUGGAAAGGGCAAAAUAAAGUCACAGUCCUGUGAA